rnacentral:lncRNA from 1 species
GGGGCUGCCAGGUUUGCCUGAUUCUAGAGCUCAAUGCUGCCCAUCAGGUGUUUGAAGUCAUGAUUUGGUGAAAAUGGGACAGUGAAGACGUUCUGAAAAAAAAAAAAGGCAUAUGAUGAGGUUUGGACAUUGAGAGGUAUAGGCUGGCUGUAGGAGUCGGGUUUAUGCUGUGAUGCACAGUGACACGUACCUCUCUCUGUUCAGCAAGGUUCAUUCCGGCUAUUCAUUUAACAGCUGGAAAGUUCUAUAUCUGUGGCAAAGAUGAUCUGCGGUGGAGGGUUUAUUCCUGGCCCCUGGCCUUCCUGGCCUUGGUCUUUUGAGUGCUUGCCG